UAAACACCGUAUUUUUCCACCACUGUUCAAUAUUUUUUCAACAAAAUGUUAUUUCUUGCAAUCUUUUUGUCUGUUAGGGGGUAUGCUUCUGUAGAAAAACAACAAUGUGAUCUCACACUAAUGAUGAAAAAACAGAGAAAAAGUUCUGAGGUCGUUAUUUUAGAGUUUAAUUAGUUGCACUGAGUUUGCAAAAUGCCAGAGCCCCUCUCCACCUCUUCAAGUGAAACCAAUUAUCUGCUUUUCUUUGUUAUAUUUAAUUCAGCAUCUUUAGCUUGUAAAUAUAUAUAUAUAUUUUUUUUUUUUAAGAAAUUUUUUUUCAGUGUCUUAUUGAGAAAUUGUGAAGGGUAGUUUUCACAUUUUUGACAUUGCAUGGGUUUUCCUUAUUUUUCUUUUUUUAUUUGCAUGCAUAAUUCCUUAACAAAACACAUAAUCAUGCAUCUUUGACUUAUCUUUUGACCUCAUACAUUAGUAGUUGUAUUAGCAAAUUUAUUUCUGUUUGCACAUCCAGCAGACACAUAGGACAGUUGUUGAUUUAAAAGUGUGCUCCAUCCAUACGAUCAGUGUCCAGUAUUCAAUCUUCUUUCCUGCUGUGCUGUGGUUUCCAUGUGGUUCUUUAUGUGAUCCAAUGUUCUCACUUGGUAGCCGCAGACCUUGCAUUGUGUUCUGUUUGGUGCCAGACUGAUAGUGUGCUGUGGGUUUUCAGGGGAGGCACUUUAGAAGUGUAGGUUAAAUUUUAACUAAUAGAUAUCACUAUGGGAUUUUCUCAGUUAAAUACUUAAAUUAUAAACAAAUUUUUUUAAUGAUUUUUUUUUAUGUCUAAAUAUGCAAAUUACAUAUUAUCUCUGCAAAUACACACUAAUUUGCACCAAUUUCCAGAACAGAAAUGUGAACAGUGUGAUAAAGCCAGACUUAAAAUAUCACAGACAAAGAAAGGGAUUUUUAUUUCUCUUUUUAUUAGUCCAUAAAUCAGAACAUACUAUCAACAACCUGUAAAAAAUAUACUUUCAAUGUGUUGUUAGGUAUAAAAUGUUAUAUAUGUCUGACUAUGAAUGCCGUAACUCGAAAGUUUAGUGUAUGUAAGUGGAAGUGAAAAGUUCUGACUCAAAAUAGAAGAAAAAAUAAUUAAAAUUAAGAAAAUGAUUUUUAAAGAUACACUGCCAUUCAAAAGUUUGGGGUCACUUAGAAAUGUCCUUAUUUUUGAAAGAAAAUCUUUUUUUUUUAAUGAAGACAAUAAAUGAAUCAGAAAUCUAGUCUAGACAUUGUUAAUGUGGUAAAUGACUAUUCUAGCUGGAAAUGACUGAUUUUUAAUGGAAUAUCUACAUAGAGGUACAGAGGAAUAUUUCCAGCAACCAUCACUUGUGUGUUCUAAUGCUACAUUGUGUUAGUUAAUGGUGUUGAAAGGCUAAUUGAUGAUUAGAAAACCCUUGCUGCAAUCAUGUUAGCACAUGAAUAAAAUUGUGAGUUUUCAUGGAAAAUGUGAAAUUUUCUGGGUGACCCAAAACUUUUGAAUGGUAGUGUACACACUAAUUUGCAUCAAUUUCCAGAACAAAUGUGAACAGUGUGAUAAAGCCUGUCAGGCUGGCUGCUGCCAGGCCUAGUUAGUGCCCUCCCCUCCCCUUCCUCUUUCCUUUGAGGGCAGCCCAGCAGUGCAGAGGAGGUAACAGGUGUUCCUCAUCGGCCAUAAUCAGCCAGCUCAUUAACAGGUAGAGUGCAACCAAUCAAGCUUGAUCUAGUCCACUAUAUAACCAGACACGACCCAGCUCUCAGUGCCGGAUCGUAAAAGAAAGGAAAGAAAGACAUAUGUUCCUUCUGGACCCACCCGCUCCUGCCGUUUGUGCCGUCGGCACUGGACCCUCCGAGCAAAAGGAAACACUCACCUGAGCCGACUCCCUCUUUCUGGUGUCCUUCCCCACUCACCGGUUGCUGCUCCAAACCCUGGCUGUCACCGCUGGGAUCCAGUUCUGAGCAUUCCCAGUUUACGUCGUUUCCCAGAGACUAUGGGUUGAGGAGGAAGUGGAAGUUUGUCGGCUUAGACCUGGUGUCAUUCCAUCAGUGUUAAACUUCCCGGCUCAUCUUGGAAGAGUACGUGCCAGAAGGACCACGACCAAGCAGCCUUGAGAUCUUAGACAGCGUCUCCCUGAGGUCCCUCUCUAUCUCCCUACACAUCCACCAACCACUGGAACACAUCUCCAAAGUUCUGCCGGGUCAGCUCAGCUUCCCCUCAGAAGAUGUUCCACCAGAUGAAGGAGCCUUUUGAGAGGCAGCUGGCAUCGUGAUUGGACUGUACUUUGGUCUGUUCCAAUCCAGCUUCAGCUCCAGAGACGGCAGGCGGGACGAGUCAACGGAGGCCGGGUGGACGAAGGCAUGCAGCUGAGUACAAUUCAGAAAACAACAGAGGAGGAGUGCAGUGGCCCAGGGCCAGAAAAAACAGAGUAGCAUCGUAUGUCUCUUAGAAAACAUCAUAGUAUAGCCUUUGGUAUGAAAAAACACCAUCAUAUACAUCGUAUAUUGUACAAAUAACAAGUCAAAGGAAAGAGACAUACAUUGUAGAAUUGUAGUAAUUGUGGGCUGACUGAUUUACUGAUUAUCAGUAUUUUAUUUUUUACUGAUUUACGGUAUUAAAUACAUUUAAAAAUGGUG